rnacentral:rRNA from 1 species
GGGUAAAGAUAAUCUGCUCAGGGUUAGUCGGUACCCGUAAGGCGAGGCCGAAGGCGUAGUCGAUGGGAAGCAGGCGAACAUUCCUGCACCGGCACGGAUGGUUCCACGAGGAGGGACGGAGGAGGAUAGUCGAGCACCCUAGAGGAUGGGUGUUCAAGCCAGUAGGCUGGGUGCGUAGGAGGCGAUGGCCACAAACGCGCGCCCGAGGCCGAGAGGUGAUGAGGUUGGCUCUCCGGAGCCAAUAACUCGAUGAUUCCAAGCUUCCAGGAAAAGCUUCGCGUGGGUUAACCGCUGUGCCGACCGUACCCAAAACCGACACAGGUGGGUGGGGAGAAGAUCCCAAGGCGCUCGAGAGAACUCGGGUUAAGGAACUCGGCAAAAUCACACCGUAACUUAGGGAGAAGGUGUACCCCAGUUGGUGAAGGGCUAGCGCCCGGAGCCGAAGGGGGUUGCAGUGAAUCGGGG